GGUAUGCAACACUGGGGCCGGUGGCCGCCGCGGCGUCGGUGGCCGGGACAGCGUCGGUGGCUGCCGCCUUGGAUCAUGCACCGGUUUAGAGGACCGGGCUAUGGUGGCGGGUGUCCGCCGCUGCGUAGGGGCAGUGUCGGUAUUUGUAUCGUUGACUGCGUUCCCGGAGGCACCCCCUGCUCCAAUGGCAGGCGCUGCUGCCCAACCCAGUGUGGGGGACACCUGUGCCAAUAACGGACAUCCGGAUAUCAUGAUGGUGGAGUGUGCUUAAUUGCUACUUUGUCUUUGAUUAAAAUGUUUUGCAUCGCGUAUUUGGUUGUUAUUAUUUUCCUUGUUAUAUUUCAGUGUCUUUUUAAUCUCAGAAAGCUUUAAAGACGGUGUUUAAUUAAGCUGCAUUUAAAAUAACUUUUACUAAAUUUAUUAUUCUUUUUUGGUAUACGAGGUUUUCGGUUGAAAUCUCGCAUUGCUGAAAACUUUAAACCAUAUAGCUUCGGUAGGAGAUGAACAAUCUAUUAUUUUCUAUUUGUACCAGUUUUCGCUUUCACCAAGUAAAAGAUGUUAGUUGUUUAUCAUCAAUGAGAAAACAAAUUGGAUUCUGUCAAAUCUUUGAGUAGCUCUAUGAAUUUCAGUUUUACUGAAAUAAACCGAGUGAAUUCGGAGAUACAUUUAUGGUUUUCAGAGAUUGUGCAAAAUAAAUGAACAUGUGUACCGCCAGCACAAGUCAUUUUAAUCCUCACAUUAUUAUAGAUGUUUACCCAUUAUUUAGAUUAUACUAAUUAACUCGCCUUUCGGCCUCGAAUAAGUA